rnacentral:rRNA from 2 species
UGGGGAAUCUUGCGCAAUGGGCGAAAGCCUGACGCAGCAACGCCGCGUGUGGGAUGAAUGCCUUCGGGUUGUAAACCACUUUCAGCAGGGACGAAAAUGACGGUACCUACAGAAGAAGCUCCGGCUAACUACGUGCCAGCAGCCGCGGUAAUACGUAGGGAGCAAGCGUUGUCCGGAUUUAUUGGGCGUAAAGAGCUCGUAGGCGGUUUCGUAAGUCGAGUGUGAAAAAUCAGGGCUUAACCCUGUCGAGCACUUGAUACUGCGAUGACUUGAGUUUGGUAGAGGUGUGUGGAAUUCCUGGUGUAGCGGUGAAAUGCGCAGAUAUCAGGAGGAACACCAACGGCGAAGGCAGCACUCUGGGCCAAUACUGACGCUGAGGAGCGAAAGCGUGGGGAGCAAACAGG